AUUGAACGCUGGCGGCAGGCCUAACACAUGCAAGUCGAGCGGAUGAAGGGAGCUUGCUCCUGGAUUCAGCGGCGGACGGGUGAGUAAUGCCUAGGAAUCUGCCUGGUAGUGGGGGAUAACGUCCGGAAACGGGCGCUAAUACCGCAUACGUCCUGAGGGAGAAAGUGGGGGAUCUUCGGACCUCACGCUAUCAGAUGAGCCUAGGUCGGAUUAGCUAGUUGGUGGGGUAAAGGCCUACCAAGGCGACGAUCCGUAACUGGUCUGAGAGGAUGAUCAGUCACACUGGAACUGAGACACGGUCCCGACUCCUACGGGAGGCAGCAGUGGGGAAUAUUGGACAAUGGGCGAAAGCCUGAUCCAGCCAUGCCGCGUGUGUGAAGAAGGUCUUCGGAUUGUAAAGCACUUUAAGUUGGGAGGAAGGGCAGUAAGUUAAUACCCUGCUGUUUUGACGUUACCAACAGAAUAAGCACCGGCUAACUUCGUG
rnacentral:rRNA from 1 species